UACGUAGGGUGCAAGCGUUGCUCGGAAUUAUUGGGCGUAAAGCGCACGUAGGCGGCUCUGCAAGUCCCAUGUGAAAUCCCACGGCUCAACCGUGGAAGUGCAUGGGAAACUGCAGAGCUUGAGUACUAAAGAGGAUCGCGGAAUUCCCGGUGUAGAGGUGAAAUUCGUAGAUAUCGGGGGGAACACCAGUGGCGAAGGCGGCGAUCUGGGUAGAUACUGACGCUGAGGUGCGAAAGCGUGGGGAGCAAACAGG
rnacentral:rRNA from 1 species